AAAGACAUGUCCCAGUUGCGGUAUGGUCUACCGCUAUCAGGAGUGGCAGGAUGGAAUCCACAAUUUCGAUAACCACAUGAUGCUCUCUCUACAUGUGUGCCUUACUUUAAGAAAUGCAUUACAGACCCACACUGCAGUUAGCCGUGUAAUUGGGAUUAUUGAGGCAACUGAGGGAGAGUCCUUCCCUAACAAGGAGAAGGUGCUACAGGUGUAUCUCUCCUUUGAAGCCCUCUCUGAACAUGACUACACAUAUGCCUGUGUUUCAUGGGUAUCACCCUGUAACAGUUGUCAUGGAUCUUCAUAAGAAGGGCGUUUUCAGUAUGCCUGUCAGUGAAAUCCAAAAUCCACCUCAGCAGUAUGAUGGUAGAGUCAAUGUGAAAGACUUCUGGGAUGCAGUGACUAUGGAAAUCCUAAGCCGUGGUUUCUAUCCCAGUGACGGCAAGAAUCCUUUCAUUGUCCGUCCAAGUUAUCAAAACUGGGCACCGUGGAUUGGACAGCAUACCAGACAGUCAGAUAUUGUGUUCAACACGGAGUAUGCCAAGAUCCAUGUGCCAGAUGUCUCCACUGAUGCGGACGAGCGGGUGACAGAAGAGCGACUGG